GACGAACGCUGGCGGCGUGCUUAACACAUGCAAGUCGAGCGAUGAACCCGGAGCUUGCUCCGGUGGAUUAGUGGCGAACGGGUGAGUAACACGUGAGCAAUCUGCCCUUGACUCUGGGAUAACUGCGGGAAACUGUAGCUAAUACCGGAUACUUUCACUGGAAGGCAUCUUCUGGUGAAGAAAGAAUUUCGGUCAAGGAUGAGCUCGCGGCCUAUCAGCUUGUUGGUGAGGUAACGGCUCACCAAGGCGACGACGGGUAGCCGGCCUGAGAGGGUGACCGGCCACACUGGGACUGAGACACGGCCCAGACUCCUACGGGAGGCAGCAGUGGGGAAUAUUGCACAAUGGGCGCAAGCCUGAUGCAGCAACGCCGCGUGAGGGAUGAAGGCCUUCGGGUUGUAAACCUCUUUUAGCAGGGAAGAAGCGAAAGUGACGGUACCUGCAGAAAAAGCACCGGCUAACUACGUGCCAGCCGCCGCCGUAA
rnacentral:rRNA from 1 species